AUUUGCCUACGGGGGGCAGCAGUGAGGAAUAUUGGUCAAUGGUCGGGAGACUGAACCAGCCAAGCCGCGUGAGGGAGGAAGGUACAGAGUAUCGUAAACCUCUUUUGUCAGGGAACAAAGACUGGGACGCGUCCCCGGAUGAGUGUACCUGAAGAAAAAGCAUCGGCUAACUCCGUGCCAGCAGCCGCGGUAAUACGGAGGAUGCGAGCGUUAUCCGGAUUUAUUGGGUUUAAAGGGUGCGCAGGCGGUCUGUUAAGUCAGCGGUCCAAGCCCGGGGCUCAACCCCGGCCCGCCGUUGAAACUGG
rnacentral:rRNA from 1 species